GCGUGUAUGCGCAUGCCCGGGAAUGGUGAAAAUGGUGUCACCCAGAUAUCGAGCCUCUAGUAUUGGAAUUCCGUUUUCCCCAAUCAACAAUCGCUCACCCGUCCUUUGUCUUCGGCUUCUGUCCACUCCCUGCUUUUACACAGUCCGUGACCAAGCCCCAGGCAGCACCUUCCUCCUGAGGUUUGUCUCAGAUGUGGCUGUUUUUCUCUGCCCCUUACUUCUGAGGGACUGCAUCUUUGACCCGUUCUGCCACUCUGAGGAUGGUCUCACUGAGCAAUGGACGGGUGCUGGCCGCACCCAGGAACAUUUGCGGGACCAUGCUGCUGCCGAAGUCCAGAGACUGCGGCCAGGUGCCAGCCCGCCCCAGAAAAAGUUCGCGAGAUAGUGUAGAAGCAGCGCCUCAGGGAUUAUGUAAAAUCACCACACACAUCUGGCACCAGGCUUUUCCCUUAACGACCUUGUUCCAGCACCCGCAAAUGUAGUUGUUCUCCCGGGUCCACUGGGGCCUUGCCUUUGGGGCACCCACACAGCCGCUACCAGGUGUCCUUCCAGCAGGGGAACCGCCUCUCCCCGUGUGGCCUGAAGAACCCCGGACUCCACUCUGCUCCUGGGGAUUCGCCCUUCCCACUAGAGCACCGCCAGGUUCCGGGUGUCUUCCCAUGUUGAAUUCCGGGCAGGAGGAGCAUCCGGAAAUCACAUCACAUGGGUCACUGCUUCUCCUGCCCCUUCAGGGUGGGCCACGGAGGCCACAAUCCUCGCUGAAUAUCCAUUUGCACUUUGCCCUUGUAGAAGGAGUGGAAAGUCGGAAUCAGUGAGAAAAUUCCUGCUUAGCAGAGGGAGCCUUCCAUGAAACUGCACUGCUAACUUGGGCUAAAAACGAGGUAAUUUCCCUGAAACAUAAGUUUGUCACAUCUGCUGAAUUGUUCCGGGGGCCGCAUCUCAGAUUGCUUCUGUACCUU